UAGGGAAUCUUCGGCAAUGGACGAAAGUCUGACCGAGCAACGCCGCGUGAGUGAAGAAGGUUUUCGGAUCGUAAAACUCUGUUGUUAGAGAAGAACAAGGACGUUAGUAACUGAACGUCCCCUGACGGUAUCUAACCAGAAAGCCACGGCUAACUACGUGCCAGCAGCCGCGGUAAUACGUAGGUGGCAAGCGUUGUCCGGAUUUAUUGGGCGUAAAGCGAGCGCAGGCGGUUUCUUAAGUCUGAUGUGAAAGCCCCCGGCUCAACCGGGGAGGGUCAUUGGAAACUGGGAGACUUGAGUGCAGAAGAGGAGGGUGGAAUUCCAUGUGUAGCGGUGAAAUGCGUAGAUAUAUAGAGGAACACCAGUGGCGAAGGCGGCUCUCUGGUCUGUAACUGACGCUGAGGCUCGAAAGCGUGGGGAGCAAACAGG
rnacentral:rRNA from 1 species